CCUAGGACGUGGCAGAUGUUGAUGUGACAGCAAGUGAAGAUGUUGCUGUGCCACCUGCCUUGGACACGGACGUAAAGGCCUUGCGCAAGAGAAGCCUGUCUGCAGCCCUCCAUGCCUAGGAGAAGACAUGAUGUGGACCCCCCGUGUCCUCACCCCCCCAGUGGCAUGAGGAGAUGAUCAGCCCUGGACGCACCGACCUGAUGUCAUGGGAGCCCUGGACCUUUUUCCUCUAAUGAUCAAUAAAGCCCUCCAGCAAA